rnacentral:rRNA from 1 species
GACGAACGCUGGCGGCGUGCUUAACACAUGCAAGUCGAACGAAGAGCGAUGGAAGCUUGCUUCUAUCAAUCUUAGUGGCGAACGGGUGAGUAACGCGUAAUCAACCUGCCCUUCAGAGGGGGACAACAGUUGGAAACGACUGCUAAUACCGCAUACGAUCUAACCUCGGCAUCGAGGAUAGAUGAAAGGUGGCCUCUACAAGUAAGCUAUCACUGGAGGAGGGGAUUGCGUCUGAUUAGCUAGUUGGAGGGGUAACGGCCCACCAAGGCGAUGAUCAGUAGCCGGUCUGAGAGGAUGAACGGCCACAUUGGGACUGAGACACGGCCCAGACUCCUACGGGAGGCAGCAGUGGGGAAUCUUCCGCAGUGGACGAAAGUCUGACGGAGCAACGCCGCGUGAGUGAUGACGGCCUUCGGGUUGUAAAGCUCUGUUAAUCGGGACGAAAGGCCUUCUUGCGAAUAGUGAGAAGGA